UCCUAAACUCGUUUGCAUCGAGAAACAAGGAUAAAUAGCAAUCUACAGUAUUUAUUAACUCAAGGUAUCCUAAUAUACUAUACUUAAAUCUCACGUAUGUCCAUGAGAUCCAUGGCGGCUGAACCAUGUGCCCUCGAGUACUGUAUCCCCUCUCUAAGAGCGACGACUGCGGGGCGGUAAGGCAGAUUCCCCCGUUUCUAGCGUCGGUGGCCUAGCAGAGGUCGUUUUCCUCCGGAUCCGCUGAUCUAGUUGGAGGAUGAACAAUUGUUCAGGUCCAGAUCCAUCCCGUGCGGAUGUUGGGCGUUCAACAUGGAUUGGUGUGGGUGUUCGUGAGUUUGUCGCUGUCUUCUUGCUCAGCGAUAUAGGAUAGAGGAAGUUCAUCCUAUUCUUCUUAAUUGAGCAGCGGUAGUCUGCAGCAAGCCAAGUACGCAGGUACGAGGGAGUGCUCCAUCCGAGGGAAUUCCUAUAGGGCCAGGGAUGCUUCUACACCACCAGCAUGAUCACGCUUCCUCCUUGGAAUUCCAUGGAAGGUUUGUCCCCAUUAUUUCAUUUUUCUCGUUCUAUUGACCUUACGACCUUGCUCCCAUUCCGCACGGCUACCUCUCGGCUCCUCCUUUGUGGUGUGUGCGUGCGUGCGUGCGUCGGUGAUCAGGGCUUCCACUUAUGGGAAGAGGAGGUUGUUGCGUGAUGUGUUGUUCCCAGGACUGCCCAUCACAUGUUUGAGCACACAAUUCAUCAGCUGAUUGGCCGUAAACAGUUCAGACAUAUAAUUUGAAAGCAGGUACAUAGUAUAACUUCUCUUGUUGCUUUAUUUUGUACCUAUAGGAAAAAUAACUGUAGUUUUUGAUACUUUGGUUUUUUUAGUACUUUGCUAUCAAACAUGGCCUUAGUUUAAGUGUAAAUGAUUGUUCUCAUGAAAGCCAGCAUGACCAUGUAAGUUGUUCUCAUACAUUGAUUUCAUACGAUAUUAUACUUUGUGCUAAUUUAUUUACAUAGACUAAUAUUCAUAAAUUACUCAAUGUUUUGUAGGACUAAUGGUCCAUCAUAAUAUAUAGAAGCAUCAGGAGGCACUCUAAUCUCCAAUAAAGAAUGACAUCAAUACGAACAAGAAUGGUGUCCCUCAAUUGAAGCUUAAUAAAUAUUAUCUUUCAUAGUUGUCUCCUUUUCCAGUUAGAUAAGGGCAAGUACAUUGGUCAUAUAAGGAGUGCUUUUGAAUUGAAAAUUUUGAAGGAUACUUUUGUUCCAUUAUUGUAUGUCGAAAUAUUGUUAUUAAUUUGAUUUUUACUAAUAAAAGAAGUUAUGGUCCUUUCAAUUCA